rnacentral:rRNA from 1 species
AAUGAACGCUGGCGGCGUGUCUUAAGCAUGCAAGUCGUGCGGCAAGGGUAGCAAUACCCCUAGAGCGGCGGACUGGUGAGUAACGCGUGGGUGAUCUGCCCUUGGGUUGGGGAUAGCCAUUAGAAAUAGUGGGUAAUACCGAAUACGAUGGCAAGACUGUGGUCUUGUCAUGAAAGGCGCUUCGGCGCCACCCGAGGAUGAGCCGUCGUCCCAUUAGCUAGUUGGUGAGGUACCGGCCCACCAAGGCGAUGAUGGGUAGGCGGCCUGAGAGGGAGUACGCCCACACUGGGACUGAGAUACGGCCCAGACUCCUACGGGAGGCAGCAGCUAAGAAUAUUCCCAAUGGACGAAAGUCUGACGGAGCGACGCCGCGUGGAUGACGAAGGCCGAAAGGUUGUAAAAUCCUUUUGUUGGGGAAGAAUAAGGCUGGGAGUGAAUGCCCGGCUGAUGACAUGAACCGACGAAUAAGUCCCGGCUAACUACGUGCCAGCCGCCGCAGUAA